UUUCAUUUUCAAAUUCACUGGAAAAUAUAUUGGGCAAUUCUCAUAGACUGUUUUCGAGUUUUGGUCACAAAAAUAUACUACAAGGAGGAAAAUGACCAAAAUGUUUCAUUUAAUAGGUAAAAUGACACUAAUACCCUAGAUAUAUAAAAAAUAAUAUGUUUUCAAAUUCAAAUUUUUUUAUAAAAUUUUUUUUUGAAGUUUUUAUUUUGAAUUUUUUUAUUUAUUUAUUUUUUCAAAUUUUCUUUCUGUAAUUUGAAAAUACUUUUUGAAACUAUUUUUCAAAUUUUUAUUUUCAAAUUUUUAUUUUCAAAAUUUUAAUAUUUAUUUUUUAUUUUAUAAAAUUUUAAACCUCAAUCCCAAA
rnacentral:lncRNA from 1 species